AAAUAAAAAAACAUAAAAAUAUGACAUAAUUAUAGUAAAAAAAUUAAAAUAAUCAAGACUGAAGAAAGGAUAUCGAUGUGAUAGCACACUCCAAAAGCCCAGUCCAUUAAUGUUUCCCGCCAAUGCUACUCCCGACACUUUCUUCCUCCGACUUUGUACGUACCCCGUACGGAAAAAGAAAACCUAAGAAACCCUAAGCAUGGAGUCGUCGAUGCGUAAUGGACGAGGCCAUUUGAAGUUUCUAGAGCAGAGCUUAGCUUCCUUCCGGAGUUUAAACUAGUUUAGAUCAAGUGGCUCAAGCAAAUUUAAUAGAAGUUGGAUAUUGCAAUUUAAGCAAAUAGGAGUACAUGUGCAUACGAAGAGAAGAGGAAAGAAUGGCUUACAUGGGCAUCCAUCACGAUUGUGAUGAGCCAAAUCGACAGUAAACGGACAGAUAAAGUAUAAUACGGUGUAGUGAAUUCCUUUCACCAGCAGAGCUUUGCUAGAGUUAAAUUAUGUGGUAUUUAUUAUGAAGUUGAAUAUAACCCUCGCAAGCAUAUAGUGAUAGAUAGAUAGAGUGCUACGCAGUGAGAUUAGGACUAAAUAAUACGUAUUUAUACUAGCACGUACUAUAGGUAAAUAUAUAUAUAUAUAAAAACAUAUAUUUAAACCUGAGUAGCUAGCUAUUCAAAAUUUUGAGUCUGAACAUAACUUUUAAUUCCAGUAAUAAAUGCGACUAGGUAAAAGCUACAGAAAAAUAUGAGAAGAGUAUCUCGAUCAAUCCCUAGCGCGGGAAAUGAUUCUAUUGUGUUUAUUUGCUACAGUCACUUACAUUUUUAGUUUAUCAUUCUUAUUAGUUAUUUUAUUUUGACCCAGAUAUAGUUUGCUAGUGUCUAGUAUAACAAGUAUUUUCACGUGAAGCCUUUCUUUUCCUUCAAAAUAUGAUGGUUGAAAAGGCGAAUUGCGGUGUAGUAUUGAUAAUAAAAGUGAAUUAUUGUG